AUGCAAAGAUAAAAACACAACGUAUGGCAAGACCAUACAGACCCGGCCGGUAGUCCGGGCGCAGACAGGAUCGUAACAGUCCCAUCUGUAAGUAACCUUCCUCCUUAGGUCGUCCCUUCUUUG
rnacentral:ncRNA from 1 species